GCGGAAUUAGCUCAGUUGGCAGAGCACGACUUUCCCAAAGUCGGGGUCGCGAGUUCGAGCCUCGUAUUCCGCU
rnacentral:tRNA from 1 species